CAUAACCUCUGGGUUGAUAUACCCCAAACCCGCAUACCAUGAGUAUGUCGGUUCCAAAACACCUGAGAAGAGUAAGUUUAAUCAACCUCCUAUUGGUUACCCAGAGUUAAUGCGCGUGCACGGUGCAUACAUAAAGACGUUUUCAAUGGAUCGCCGAUUUCACGAGUCAAAAUGGAAAAUCAAAGUGAACAAAAAAGAGCGGCAUACUUCACAGAGGUGGAGUUGGAGGUUUUAAUGCACGCAUAUGAAGAAUUCAAGCCAAUAAUAAUGAAAAAAAGCAAUACGACUGCAUCGGCUAAAGAAAGAGAGUUGGCUUGGCAAAAAAUAACGGACAGAGUAAAUGCGUGUAAUCCUUCUGGAGCCAGAAGAACUUUGAUCCAAGUCAAAAUGAAACACAAAAACAUUCUGCAAAAAGCUAAUAGAAAGAAGGCUGAAGCCCGUCUAACUGGCGGGGGCCCACCACCACCUCCCCUCACCCCAUCUGAGGAGCUGGCUCUGUCCCUUAAUAAAGGGCGACUAGUGGUUGCUGGCAUUCCACGGGGUACUUCAUCA